UCGUUGCUUUUAAUUCCUCCAUUUUUUUAUUUAUUUUUAUUUUGUUCAACAAAAUCUUAAUUUUUCACAGAGAACGUUAUCAUCAACUUUGCCUUCCCUCUUUCCUUCCUUCGCUAACUCGGUUGCCUUUGAAACUUGGGUUGGAUCCUUCUCACUGUGCCAUGGGUGAUUAAAGCUUGAUUGGAUUUGUGUUUAUGGUUGUUUUGGAUCAAAUUUUCACAAAGGGGAAAAACUAAUCAAUCCUUCAUUGGAUGACUUUAAGAAGACACCAGAUCCCACUAGCUUACAUUUAGAUGACCCGUUGGUAGUGAAGUGGGUCAAAACCAAUAUCCAAGGGGAACAACCAUAAGGCAUAUAUAUACUCUUUCUAUGGAUUCACAAGAUUCUAAUAACCUCCCAUGCUCUCAACAAUGAUAAUGAAGGUAUAAACGUGAGCAGCUCACUAAAUACUCAACAUGUCAAUAACUCUUCUCAACUCCUUAUACAUAAUUCUAUGCCACAAGCUACCACAACUCAAUUUUCAAACCAAUUUCCUCACUUCUCAUUUCAGCCCAGCUAUCCUUUUAAUCCAAUGAAUGCUUCAUAUUCUUCUCAUGUUAGCCAACAAUUUGGAUCUGGAUUCACCUAUCAGGGUUUAUUGAAUGCUCCUACAAUCCCAUUUGACACUCGAAAUGCUAAUGCAACCAAAGAAUUCAAACAUAAGAGCAAGGCCACCCAAAAGUCUAACUCUCAAAGUUUUGUUUCUAAUAAAAAUUGGACUAAAGCUGAAGAUGUUGCAUUGACAAAGGCAUGACUUUACAUCUCUGUUGAUUCUGAUAUUGGUAAUAGCCAGAAAAAUACAGCAAUGUGGGAUCGUAUUUUACUUACUUGGAAGGACAAUAUGGGGGUGGAAUAUAGCAGUGUUCGAAACACCAAUAGCUUACAAUGUCGUUGGGUAAAAAUACAAGGUGCAGUGAACAAAUUUCAUGGACUAUAUGAGAUAUUGGAAAGAAAUCCACAAAGUGGAACAACCCCAGAAGAUAUGGAUAAAGUAAAAUGGACUUGAAGCUGAAUGGAAUGGAGUUAUGAAUGGUAAAUGAUCUAUAUUGAGGAUGGAAAAGGCUAACGGAAGGAAAUGUUAUGAAGGGAUCGUGCAUAAUCUAUAAGGAUAAUACACGUAUAUUUAAAUGUUGUGCAUUCCUAUUUUGAUGUUCUCCAUCUUUCUUAUGGAAUUUUAGAAGUUGCAGUUGUUAGAAAUCUUUGACAAAGUUUUUUGAACUCGUUGAACUCGUAGAACUUGUAGGUUAUUUGUUGUUUCAUAUUGUUCCCAUUCUAUCUCAUGGUGGCUUAACAUCCAUGGUUUAAGGUUUCUUUGUCAAUGUUCAAAAAACUUACUUUUCAAUGUUCACUUAAACUGUUUGGUAAAUAUGUUCUAGUAGUUCCAAAUUAAAUUUUUAAUGAGUGAAGUUUAUGCAUCAUAUUCAUGUUUUUA